GUUUGUGAUCAAGGUGUAGCGCACCUGUAUAAAUGAUUAACGACUUAGUUAUGCUGCUUUGGAGUUCCUUCAAAAAAUCUUUCCAAUGCCUAAUUUUGCAUGCCAAUAAAUUCCAUUCACCCAUGGCCAAAAAGUGCUGUAACUUCUUCACUGAAGAAACCGUAUUCACUUGAUUGCCAUGCGCUGUAUUAUGUUCAAAUCGGCAUGUGUAUAAUUAUCGUUUAUUUAGUUCGUCCGCCAAAACCCUUACCUACCACGUUUCUCGCAUUGAUGAACAAAUUAUUCGAUUUUUUUCAUAGUAAUGAUUACCGGCGCGUUUAACUUAUGCGGCACACUUGUAUGUGCAUAAUUAACGCUUCUGCUGGAGCGGCGCGUGGUGGAAAUAUGUUUUCUGUGUAGUCAUGAUCACAUUUCGCCCGCAAGGUAUUUGUGGAGGUAAACCGUAUAAAGGCCCGGUUGACUCUGCGGACUAAGUUAUUGCAUAUCAUUGAACGGAUUAUUAAUCGAUCGCGUGCUACUUCAAUAAACAUUUUUAGCAGACGUGUUGGUGACCUUUCUUCAUUUCCUCUGUUCCGCUAAAUAAUUCAGAAUGAAGCUUUUAGCCAUUGUUUUUGGAAUAAUCUUCGUGAUUUGCGCCUUGACUCAGUCAGCCUUGGCGCAAGGUGACAUCUGGAUUGGUGGUGGUGGAUCCGGACCUGGAGGUGUCAUAUUUAUGGCAAAAAAUCCGCAGCCGAAGGACUUCCCAUCGCUUCUCCAGGCUUUAAGAAAAUAAACCCAAUCGCUAACCGCACCGCUUUGCCGCGACAACAUGACAAAAAGACGGAUUCAAAACGUUUCUUGGGUUCUCAUAACAUUCAUCAUUUUACCGUGAACUGCUUUUAUGCUUUUUGGCGUGCACACCCCAUGACACUGUUCGAUCGCUGUUCUGCGCUAGUUUGUUGACUUGACCACGCCCGCACCAGCGUGGCUGUCAAGUAUACCUACAGAUGCUGUUGUUUUAAACAGUCAUGCGACUACUGAGCAUUUUGUAUAAACUUUUUUGUCCUUUCUUAAAACAAAAAAUGUUUGUAAUUCGCAGUUAACACCGGCAGGCUAUUAAACUUCAGAACGAUAAA